UACGUAGGGUGCAAGCGUUGUCCGGAAUUAUUGGGCGUAAAGAGCUCGUAGGCGGUCUGUCGCGUCGAAUGUGAAAACCCGGGACUCAACUCCGGGCCUGCAUUCGAUACGGGCAGACUAGAGUUCGGUAGGGGAGACUGGAAUUCCUGGUGUAGCGGUGAAAUGCGCAGAUAUCAGGAGGAACACCGGUGGCGAAGGCGGGUCUCUGGGCCGAUACUGACGCUGAGACGCGAAAGCGUGGGGAGCGAACAGG
rnacentral:rRNA from 1 species